rnacentral:rRNA from 1 species
UACGUAGGGUGCGAGCGUUGUCCGGAAUUACUGGGUGUAAAGGGCGUGUAGGCGGGAAGAUAAGUCAGAUGUGAAAUCCCAGGGCUUAACUCUGGAGCUGCAUCUGAAACUGUUUUUCUUGAGUACUGGAGAGGAAAGUGGAAUUCCUAGUGUAGCGGUGAAAUGCGUAGAGAUUAGGAGGAACACCAGUGGCGAAGGCGGCUUUCUGGACAGUAACUGACGCUGAGGCGCGAAAGCGUGGGGAGCAAACAGGAUUAGAUACCCUUGUAGU